GUCUUUUUGGUGAAAUUAUCACAUCACUUUUUCAAGGUGAAAUUGAAUUUUAUAAAUUCUUAAGAUA
rnacentral:tRNA from 1 species